UUGUAUCCUCAUUUAAGAAAUUUUUGCAUUUUGGUACUGUGCUGUAGCAAGAAAGCCUGUGUAGUGCUGCUCACCUCAGACUUCUGCUAGCUGAUGGGCAUUCUGGAAUGACUGAGGACUCUUCAAUGUUCCUUUUACAACCUCAAUUAAAAAGUACUUAAUAGGAAAAGAAAUGACUAUAAAAGAUUAUAGCAAUCUCUGGUUUGUUUCAGCAUUUGCUGUUGUGUCUUAAAAAAAUAUUUAAAAAUAUUUUUCCCUAGGUGUUUUCCAGGUUUCCUGGACUUAGCCUGCAUCCCUUUUAACAGUGAUUGUGGUUCAUCUUGCACUGCAAUCGGAAGACAUUUUGCGACUGGUAACUGGUGUGCUCCUUGCAAACAUUAUAGAGAAAAUACCCUGUUGAAUAUGGAACUGAAUGAUAUCGCUGUUUCCCCCAAGUUUGUCUACUUUUAACUGAAAGAGGGUGGGAAGUUUUUUUUUUUGGAUGUGGAAGUAUUAGUAAAUUUUCAUAGCAUCGUAGGAUCGUUAUGGUUGGAAAAGCCCUUCAAGAUCAUGGAAUUCAACUGUAAAUUUUGAAUGAAACAGGGCAAAAGAAUAGAGUAUAGAAAACAGUACACAMAUUUAUCACACCGUAAUAUAUAGGYGGUUGUGAGAAGGCAUGUCUCAAGUGAUGCUGUUACUGUGGGAUGUGAUAAGGGUUACCUGAGGGAGCCUGCAUGGGACUGUUGAGGUCCCACAGSAGCCGUGGCUGGCUGCACUGCAUUAUUAUGAGUUUGGGGUCUGAUAAACCUUUAUUUUGUCAGGUCAUUCACAAAGUGUCUAAGCUGUUCCCUGCUUAGGUCAGGCCUUGAAAGCAAUGUGAACAAUGUCCUGCAUCUGCACAGUGGGGUGGUGUUUGUUGUUUUGUUUUCUCCAAUCAGAGGGCUGGCUAUACAUAAAUUAAUUCCUGGUUCUACAUCUGUGGAGAUACUUGAAACCAUUUUCCUUGUUUUCUGAAAUUCUGCRACCGUUUUCCAUGUUUUCUGAAAUUCCACUCUAAUCCAGUUCCUAGGAUUAGAGGACCUGUACCGUGUCAUAAGACCUUUCUCCUGUCUGAAAUUUUUAUUAUUUCACCUCUGGUCUGUCUUUAGAUGCUGAACACUGCUGUGAUGGACGGUAAAGUUUGGCCUUGCAGUAUGUAUGCUGAUGGCAAGUACUCAUAUCAAAUUUCUGUAAUCUGACAUGUCUGAGGAGGUCCUUGUGCUUUUUGGCUGUGUUUUCCUCUGCUUUUUAAUUUUUCAGUAUUGAUAAAAAUGUUUACCUUUAAUUAUAGGAUAUCUAAGAGCUGCUCUGCAGCAAAGAAGGCGAGUUUAGGAGUGGUGGGGACAACCAUAGUUAAUUCCAUAGUUAAUGUCCAUAGUUAAUUCGUCUGGACUUUCUCUAAUAUAUUCAUUAAAGAUUUCUUAUAUCUUGGAAUGAUCAGGUCAUGACAAGAGCUAAAAAUAGAGCUCACUUUUAGCAUUGGGGAGAAAAAGACACCGAUCUACAAAUCAGAUUUUUAGCCUUUUCCUCUUAGUGCUCUCAGCCCUUUGUUUGCCUCUGCAACUAUUCAGUUGUAUAUUUUCCUAAUUGAGAAUUAAUGUCCACAUAAGGCUUGUUGCUGGAAAGUAUUUGUCACUAGUGCUCAUUUCUUUAUAUAUAGAGAGUUUGGACAACUAUCAUCCUAGUUGAUAAGGAGAAGAUGCUUUCUAUUAACUGUGCUUUGAAGACAGGUUCAGAGAUUCCCAUUUUCAAUCAAAUUUGGCAUUUGUUCUGAAGCCUAACGGAAGCCUUAGCUAAUACAUAUCUCGAUUCUCUGAUUUAGGGUGUAAAGGACUUCUUGCCUUUGAAUCUUGUUUUGACAGAUGUUUAAGUCCCUGGAUUUCUGACUUGGAUAGUAACAUGGCAAAUAGUCUCAGAAAAGCUCCAGCAUCUGCCUGUCGUGGCAUGUGAUUUGAGGAGUGAGGAGAGAAAUAUCAAAAAUUCAGGUGGGUGUAGUACAUGUUUUUGCAGUCUUGUCCCUUGUUCUAUACAGUGUACUGGAAACUGAGCA